ACCUAAGUUGUCCGUGGUGCUGUUUAGCUAUUCAUGCACGCGUUUCGUAGUUGUAUGCUGCGUUGUCAAACAUAUAACUGUUGUGCGGAACGCUUGUCGAAUGUUGGACCUGGUAGGAUGGGCGCGGUCGUUGAGAUUAGUGUUUGACUAGUAUGCGUGAUUGGUACCCAGGAAUGUACUGGACGGAAGGCAUGUUCCUGCUCCCGCGGCGCACUAACAAUGCUGCCAGGCCCCGGCGCGUUGGGGUUGGCAUUGGCCUCCUGGUCAGGUCAUUUUCCUUUUCUCAAGGCUUGGGCAUAGAACUUCCCAAGCACGCCUUCCCCUGGCCUCCCUUGCCAGGCUGGAUUAAGUUCCACCAAGCGCCAACUCCCACGGCUGCCGGCCUUGUGACCUGUUGCAUGGGCAUCGCGCUCCUUUGGAACCUGUACACGCACCGCAAGUGGGGCAAGUACCUACUGCAGGACGAAGCAGCAGAACAGGUGACACACGGAUGCGUGCGGCGGCGAAUGUUCUACCAAUUUCCAUUACCGGUUGCGCCAGACUGCACGUGUA
rnacentral:lncRNA from 1 species